AGGUUGGCUCAGAAGCAGCCAUCCUUUAAAGAGUGCGUAACAGCUCACUAGUCGAAUGACUCUGCGCCGAUAAUUUACCGGGGCUAAGCAUACUACCGAAGCUAUGGAUCCCAAGGGAUGGUAGGGGAGCGUUCCAUGAACGGAGAAGUACGACCGAAAGGACGUGUGGAGAUCAUGGAAGAGAGAAUGCCGGUGUGAGUAGCGGAACGUGGGUGAGAAUCCCACGCACCGAAAACCCAAGGUUUCCAGAGGAAGGUUCGUCCGCUCUGGGUAAGUCGGGACCUAAGGCGAGGCCGAAAGGCGUAGUCGAUGGACAACAGGUAGAGAUUCCUGUACCCGUAUAUAUGUGAAGGAAUGACGGAGAGAGGAAGCUGCAGCCAGCGGCUGGAAGAGCUGGUGCAAGCGAGAUAUCGGGAUGGCAGGCAAAUCCACCAUCCGAAACGAGAAGGCGUGAAGCGUACGGAAAGCUACGGCGAGUACGGAAGGCAGUGGAGGAACUUCCAAGAAAAGUUUCUAACGUUAAGUAUAUAUGGCCCGUACCGAAAAUGGACACACAUGGGUGAGGAGAGAAUCCUAAGGUGAGCGAGAGAACUAUAGCUAAGGAACUCUGCAAAAUGACUCCGUAACUUAGGGAGAAGGAGUGCUCAUAGAGAUAUGAGCCGCAGUGAAACGGCCCAAGCGACUGUUUACCAAAAACACAGCUCUCUGCUAAGCCGCAAGGCGAAGUAUAGGGGGUGACGCCUGCCCGGUGCUGGAAGGUUAAGGGGAGGGGUUAACGCAAGUGAAGCCCUGAACUGAAGCCCCAGUAAACGGCGGCCGUAACUAUAACGGUCCUAAGGUAGCGAAAUUCCUUGUCAGGUAAGUUCUGACCCGCACGAAAGGCGUAACGAUUUGGGCGCUGUCUCAGCUGUAGACUCGGUGAAGUCUUAGUACCUGUGAAGAUGCAGGUUACCCGCGACUAGACGGAAAGACCCCAUGGAGCUUCACUGCAGGUUGAUAUUGGGAUUUGAUGCAGCAUGUACAGGAUAGGUAGGAGGCAAAGAGAUGGAUACGCCAGUAUUCAAGGAGCCGCUGUUGGGAUACUACCCCUGUUGUAUUGGAUUUCUAACCGGACGACGUAGAGCCGUUGACGGGACAGUGUCAGUCGGGCAGUUUGACUGGGGCGGUCGCCUCCCAAAGAGUAACGGAGGCGCCCAAAGAUACCCUCAGCUUGGAUGGAAACCAAGCGCAGAGUGCAAAGGCAAAAGGGUGUUUGACUGCGAGACCCACAAGUCGAGCAGGGACGAAAGUCGGGCUUAGUGAUCCGGCGGUGCUGAAUGGAAAGGCCGUCGCUCAACGGAUAAAAGCUACCCUGGGGAUAACAGGCUGAUCUCCCCCAA
rnacentral:rRNA from 1 species